rnacentral:rRNA from 1 species
GACAGAGGGGGCAAGCGUUGCUCGGAAUUACUGGGCGUAAAGGGCGCGUAGGCGGGAUGGCAAGUCGGUCGUGAAAUCCCUCGGCUCAACCGAGGAACGUCGAUCGAUACUGCUGUUCUUGAGGAUUGCAGAGGAGACUGGAAUUCCCGGUGUAGCGGUGAAGUGUGUAGAGAUCGGGAGGAACACCGGUGGCGAAGGCGGGUCUCUGGGCCAUAACUGACGCUGAGAAGCGAAAGCAUGGGGAGCGAACAGG